rnacentral:rRNA from 1 species
CCUACGGGUGGCUGCAGUGGGGAAUUUUGGACAAUGGGCGCAAGCCUGAUCCAGCCAUUCCGCGUGCAGGAUGAAGGCCUUCGGGUUGUAAACUGCUUUUGUACGGAACGAAAAGGCUCUUUCUAAUACAGGGGGCUCAUGACGGUACCGUAAGAAUAAGCACCGGCUAACUACGUGCCAGCAGCCGCGGUAAUACGUAGGGUGCGAGCGUUGUCCGGAAUCACUGGGCGUAAAGGGCGCGUAGGCGGCCCUGGCAGUCGGUGGUGAAAGCCCGUGGCUCAACUGCGGGUCGGCCACCGAUACUCCAGGGCUCGAGUUUGGUAGAGGCAGAUGGAAUUCCGGGUGUAGCGGUGGAAUGCGUAGAGAUCCGGAAGAACACCGGUGGCGAAGGCGGUCUGCUGGGCCAAGACUGACGCUGAGGCGCGACAGCGUGGGGAGCA